CGGGAGGAGAUGCGUCGCUGCCAUCCAGGUCCGCCAUUUCUCCUGACGUCAGCCGAGAGGGAUCAGAGGCACGAACCCAAAGGACCCGGCGCGCGGACCCGGGACGGGCUGCCGGGCACCCUCCAAUGGACAGACUGUGUUGGCUCUGCACCCCCUCCUGAACCCCCAGUAAAAUGUCUACCGAUUGGUGCGUGGAAAUCUGCAACCAUGGCAACCAGCUGUUUGGCAGUUUCUCAGACAGAGGAGGAGAUGUGAGGUACCGGCCUGUAGGUGAUGCUGUAUGGCUGACUCGUCUGUCAUAUGAAUGAAUGAGCAGGCCACAGCAGUGUGACAUAUCUCCCCAGCAUUUUUCUGAUGCUGCAAUUGGGUUCCACAACAGAGGAGACGAGAUGGGAUCUAUCUUUACAGCUGAAGGGAGCAUAGGAGCUGCUGCUGCUAGUGUCACUCCAUGUCUCAUCUCUGUUUCUUACUGCCCCGGUCAUGUAUGGUAUCUGCUUGUCUUUUUCUUUUCCCAGUCUGUUCGCUAUCUCUUUUUUUUUCUGCUGCGAUAUUAGUAUGAUGGAUCACUAUAUUCACAGGGGAGAGCAGCAAAUGCUCUCUUAUACUCAACAAGAAGAGAGUAGGGGGUGGAGAGCAAAAUAUAGGAUCAGGACAGAGAAUAGCAAAAUGAAGAGGGGGAUGGGAAGACAUGAAAUGUACAGUAGGGUCUGCUGAGGUAUUUCACGUAGAAUAUGCUGCGUUACACUUUUAAUUUAAAACACUUUAACACUGAAAAAUGCCAGUCUAAGAAACCUCACAUCACCUUACUUCAUUCAUCUAUUUCAGUUUCAACAGCUUCAAUCCAUAUUAUUUGUGAAAAUCCAUAAUAUGAUAAUGAACCAUGACUAACAGUGACUUGAGGACCGUGCUGGUGUGAGAUUAGCUGGUGUGCAGCCAGCUGACUGGCCCGUGCACAUCGACCAAAGGGGGGGGAAACCUCCCAUCCUUAGCUAUUCUCCUCACAUUCACCUUGCAGUCCCAAUUAUUCAAGGCAGCGUGCACGAGCGCUCCCUGCCAGCCAGCCAGCCAGCCAGCCCCAGCUGUGAAAAGUGGGUCAUGGAAUUUAAAGGCACACUGCACAGUCGCUUGGCACCACUCCGGUUUUCUGUUCCUCUCCAUACGCAGCAGCAGCAGCAACAGCAACAGCAGCAAUGUGUGCGUAUGCAAUUCUGUAUCCUGCAGUGAAAUCCACAAGGCUGUUUGUGAAUGUGUGUCAGUGAAUCAGAAGACAUUCAUUAUCACGUUCUCUCCGGGAAUAAAAGCUGUGGCAUGUUCAUCAAGUGUCUCUCCUCUUAGCUGGCCUAUAUUCUUCCACUUGACUUGUCUUUAGAAAUAAAAAUACAUGUGAUGAUUCGUAAUGAGGUUGACUUGUUCC